AUGAAGCAGAGACCAGCAAAGGGGGCUCCUGCAGAUUCUUGCUGGCGUCCCCGUGCCCAGACACCAUGCUGCAGCUCCACCUUUGGGCUCUCUCUGCUCCCUUGUCCUCUUUCCAGUGAAUUGCCUUUUUUGGAAAAGUUAAGGUCUCUGUUACGUAAGCAUGUAACCAUUCCACAACCCUGGAACGUAAAACAGACAGACAUCGUUUUCCCAAACGGAAUUACUGUGAUCUCAGGCCUGCGCCUCCCUGGGGGGGAUCGUCUCCCCUUAGUUCCUGGGGACCCCUCCCUGCUGCAUGGGCUCACGCAGGAAUCUCGAGGCUUUGGGGGAACAAGAACACUGGGAAGGGGCCUGGGCUGCAGUCCUGGGCAGUCACUGUGGCUCCUUCUGAUCCCUGAGCAUGUCCCCACUUCCGGGACCUCAGAGAUGCCCCCCCACCGGGUCUUCUUGAGGGGCCACAGACACGCACAGGGAUCCCCCCAACCCCGCCCUGCUCCGAGGCUGGGGACUCCAAGCGCUAGUCCAGGGCCCGUGCGGUGCCCCCGGGCGGUCCGGCCUUCCCACUGGAGGAGCCCCAAGGCCAGGGCUCCCCUGCCAGGCGUGGGCAGGCCCAGUGGAUUCCUCUCCCGCCUGGGCAGCCCCUCCCUGAAGCACAAAGACUCAGUUCACGUCCCCAUGGCCUCCUCCUCCCUCCGGCUCCCUCCCUCCAAGGGCCUGGCCGGGAACACAGAGGGCGUCUGUCCUCCUGGGUGGGGGAGGGAACAUGCCCCUCAUUUUGCUCCUCGUGUGUUUCAGAGCCAUCCCGCACACUUACAGCCAAAGAUGCCUCAAAGGAGGCCCCGAGGCUCAGGGGAGAGGGUGCUGAGGGGGGUCCAGACCACAGCCCCGGGCCACAGCCCGCACCUCCGCAUUGACACGGGACAGGAGGACCCCGCUGCUCCCACUUUGCUCACUCAGGAAAAGACGAGGCUUCGUAUUUCCUUCCCUGAGCUGGGGCUGAGGGGAGCUUGUCACCUCAUUUGUUCAGAUCCCACUUCCUGUCCCACCCAGGCCCCCAUGUUCCCUGCAUGCACCCACCGCCCAGCAUCACCUUCUGCCCCGGCCUCCACCGUCUGCUCGCAGGUCACCCAACACCCCAAUGGCCCCGGGGCCAGCACUCCUGCUUCCCCCGACACGCACUUACAGACAACCGACAACCGGGACAACGGUACAGCCUUUCUUUCGAAAAGCAUCCUGCCAACUCGGCCCAGGCUGGCCUCCGCCGCCGCCCGCGUGGCUCCUCCCUGGGCCCUGCUGGUCGAAGCCCAGAGCUGGCUCCCGGGUCUGAGCCCAGGCAGCCUCCGGACCCCAGCUCUCAUCACUUCCUCCCUCAGGAUGCGGAAUGGGCUUGCUGGCAGGGGCCUUUGCGUAAAUGCCCAGACAAGCCUCCUAGGUUCUGUCCUUAAGAAGGAGAACAAAGGGAGUUGUUCAGCAUUUUCAGAUGAGAGCAAGUCCCAAGAUGAAUUCUUCAUUUUUAAGCAUCUUUCAGCAAAGAAGAAAUUCCAGCAGCCAAGCUUUAGUGUUUAUUUUCAACAAAAGGGUAACAGACAUUUUAAUUUAGGGGGGAAAUAG
rnacentral:lncRNA from 1 species